rnacentral:rRNA from 1 species
CCUACGGGAGGCUGCAGUGGGGAAUAUUGGACAAUGGGCGAAAGCCUGAUCCAGCCAUGCCGCGUGUGUGAAGAAGGCCUUCGGGUUGUAAAGCACUUUCAGUGGGGAAGAAAGCCUUGGGGCUAAUACCCUCGAGGAAGGACAUCACCCACAGAAGAAGCACCGGCUAACUCCGUGCCAGCAGCCGCGGUAAUACGGAGGGUGCGAGCGUUAAUCGGAAUUACUGGGCGUAAAGCGCGCGUAGGCGGUCUGAUAAGCCGGUUGUGAAAGCCCCGGGCUCAACCUGGGAACGGCAUCCGGAACUGUCAGGAUAGAGUGCAGGAGAGGAAGGUAGAAUUCCCGGUGUAGCGGUGAAAUGCGUAGAGAUCGGGAGGAAUACCAGUGGCGAAGGCGGCCUUCUGGACUGACACUGACGCUGAGGUGCGAAAGCGUGGGUAGCAAACAGGAUUAGAUACCCGGGUAGUC